rnacentral:tRNA from 1 species
UGCUGCGAGAGCUCCUGCGGCCGCGGCUGCGCCGUCUCCGGGACGGGGGGCAGCAGCGCCGGUUCGAUGCCGGCCGCGGCCA